rnacentral:lncRNA from 1 species
UUGAGCUUGAACCUGAUAAGCCUGGCAGAAGCCUGAUGAACCCAGAAUGAGUGAGAUGUGAGACAGAGUCUUGUUCUGUCGUGCAUGCUGGCGUACAGUGCCACAAUCACAGCUCACCGCAGCUUCCAACUUCUGGACUCACAUGAUCCUUCUGCCUCAGACUUCCAAGUACUUGGGACUACAGUCACGAAUCACCACAGCCAGCUUGGAGUGACUUUCUAAGGUUUCUCAGACUUCUGUUUUGCUUUGUUCUCAAUAACCU